UUCGCAAUGCCCGAAAGGGUGACGAAGCGACGCCGCGUGGGUGAGGAAGGCCCUCGGGUUGUAAAGCCCUGUCAGGAGUUAAGAAAUGUAGAUACGCUAAUAUCGUAUCUAUUUGACAAAGGCUCCAAAGGAAGCCACGGCUAACUCUGUGCCAGCAGCCGCGGUAAUACAGGGGUGGCAAGCGUUGUUCGGAAUUGUUGGGCGUAAAGAGCACGUAGGUGGAUUUGUAAGUCAGAUGUGAAAGCCUUCUGUUCAACGGAAGAAUUGCAUCUGAAACUACAAACCUUGAGUAUAGGAGGGGAGAAUGGAACUUCUGGUGGAGCGGUGAAAUGCGUAGAUAUCAGAAGGAACGCCGGCGGCGAAAGCGAUUCUCUGGCCUAUUACUGACACUCAGUGUGCGAAAGCUAGGGGAGCAAACGGGAUUAGAUACCCCGGUAGUCCUAGCCGUAAACGAUGGGCACUAAGUAGAGGGGUUUU
rnacentral:rRNA from 1 species